rnacentral:rRNA from 1 species
UUGAUCUAUUAGUAUAUCUCAGCUAAAAUCAUUACUAAUCUUACACCUGAUACCUAUAAAACGACUAGUCUAGUCGUGAUCUUAAAGAGUACUCAUCUUAAGGUGGGCUUCCUACUUAUAUGCUUUCAGCAGUUAUCCACUCCACACUUGACUACCCAGCGUUUUCUGUUGGCACAAAAACUGGAACAUCAGUGGUGUGUCCUUCCCGGUCCUCUCGUACUAAGGAAAGAUCCUUUCAAUACUCUAACGCUCACACCGGAUAUGGACCGAACUGUCUCUCGACGUUCUGAACCCAGCUCACGUACCGCUUUAAUGGGCGAACAGCCCAACCCUUGGGACGUACUACCGCCCCAGGUUGCGAUGAGCCGACAUCGAGGUGCCAAACCUCCCCGUCGAUGUGAACUCUUGGGGGAGAUCAGCCUGUUAUCCCUAGAGUAACUUUUAUCUGUUGAACGACGGCCUUUCCAUUCAGAACCGUCGGGUCACUAAGACCGACUUUAGUCUCUGUUCGACUUAUAGGUCUCACAGUCAAGCUUUCUUAUAUCUUUACACUCUACAACUAAUUUCCGUCCAGACUGAGAAAACCUUUGUACGCCUCCGUUACUUUUUAGGAGGCUACCGCCCCAGUAAAACUGCCCACUUGAAAAUGUCAAACAUAUUAUCAUGUCAUUAGAUUUCUAACUUUUUCAGAGUGGUAUCUCAUAUUAUGGCUCAUCAACUUCCGAAAAAGAGAUUCAUAGCCUCCCACCUAUGCUGCGCAAAAAAAGCCCAAAAUCAAUUUCAAGUUACAGUAAAGCUUCAUAGGGUCUUUCUGUCCAAGUGCGAGUAGACCGCAUCUUCACAGUCAAUUCUAUUUCACCGAGUCUGUCUCCGAGACAGCGCCCAAAUCGUUACGCCUUUCGUGCGGGUCGGAACUUACCCGACAAGGAAUUUCGCUACCUUAGGACCGUUAUAGUUACGGCCGCCGUUCACCAGGGCUUCAGUCGCUAGCUUCGCUUACGCUAACCAACUUCUUUAACCUUCCGGCACUGGGCAGGCGUCAGCCCCCAUACAUCGUUUUUCAACUUAGCGGAGACCUGUGUUUUUGGUAAACAGUCGCUUGGGCCUGCUCACUGCGACCUCAUUAAAUGAGGCACUCCUUCUUCCUAAGUUACGGAGUUAUUUUGCCGAGUUCCUUAGAGACAGUUAUCUCGCGCCCCUUAGUAUUCUCUACUAAUCUACCUGUGUCAGUUUACGGUACAGGCAUAAUCCAUUUAUUACUACAAAAGUUUUUCUAGGAAACAUGACAUAAGUUACUUGCAAUACCGUAGUAUCUCUCGUAUUCUACCCUUUGCUCAAAAUAUUUUUUGAUAAAAUUUAUCUACACAUCGARAUAUUAAACCAAAACAACCAAUGUUUGGCUAACUUAGCCUUUUUCGUCACUCUUAAUAAAAUGAAAAACGGUACAGGAAUAUUAACCUGUUAACCAUCAACUACGUUGUUAAACCUCAUUUUAGGACCUGACUAACCCUUCGUGGACGAACCUGGCGAAGGAAACCUUAGAUUUACGGGGCAUUGGAUUUCCACCAAUGUUUUCGUUACUUAAGCCGACAUUCUCACUUCUGCMUAGUCCACAACUGCUUUCGCUAUUGCUUCAAACAAAACAGAACGCUCUUCUACUGAUUAAUACUCACAUCUUCGGCAAAUUACUUAGUCCCAUUCAUUUUCGGCGCAAAAUCACUUGACCAGUAAGCUAUUACGCACUUUUUAAAGGAAUUGCUGCUUCUAAGCAAACCUCCUGGUUGUCUAUGUAAUAUUACAUCCUUUAUCACUUAGUAAAUAUUUAGGGGCCUUAAAUAGUGAUCUGGGCUGUUUCCCUCUCGACAAUGAAGCUUAUCCCCCACUGUCUCACUAGCUAAUUGAAAUAAUUUGAGUAUUCAGAGUUUGCUACAAUUUAGUACUGCUUUCGCAGCCCUUAUCGAAACAGUGCUUUACCCCUCAUUUUACCAUAAUUAACUGCUGCGCCUCAACGCAUUUCGAAGAGAUCCAGCUAACUCCGAGUUCGAUUAGAAUUUCUCCRCUAAUCACAACUCAUCCCCCAAUUUUUCAACAUUGGUGGGUUCGGUCCUCCACUUUGUUUUACUAAAGCUUCAUCCUGGUCAUGAUUAGAUCACCCGGGUUCGGGUCUAUAGAUAGUGACUAACGCUUUAUUAAAACUCGACUUCACUAAGGCUCCGAUAUAAAAAUCUUAACCAGGCCACUACCCAUAAGUCGCCGGCUCAUUCUUCAACAGGCACACAGUCAAUCUUUUAAUAGACCUCCUACUGCUUGUAAGCUUAUGCUUUCAUAAUCURUUUCACUCCCUUCUCAGGGUUCUUUUAAGCAUUCCCUCACGGUACUAGUUCACUAUCGGUCACUUAGGAGUAUUUAGCCUUACGAGAUGGUCCUCGCAGAUUCACACAGAAUUUCACGUGCUCUAUGCUACUUGGGAAAAAUUAAAAGGUAAAUUAUAAACUUUACAGGACUUCCRACCUUUUCUAGUAUUGUACUCAACAAUUUCAAGUAUAAAUUUUCCAYAAAUUAAAGUCCCACUACACCAAAAUAGGUUUAGGCUGUUUUCAGUUAGCUCGCCACUAAUAAGAAAAUCGCAUUUGCUUUCUUUUCCUUCGGUUAAUAAGAUGUUUCAGUUCACCGAGUUAUCCACAUAAAUUUAGAAAAUUCAAAAAAGUUAUAAGGGUUGCCCCAUUCGGGAAUCUCUGGAUUAAAACUUGUUUCUUGUUCCCCAAAGCAUAUCGUCAGUUACUACGCCCUUCUUCGUCUCUAAGUGCCAAGCCAUCCCGCAUAAGCCCUAUUUCGUUUAA